rnacentral:rRNA from 1 species
GAUGAACGCUGGCGGCGUGCCUAAUACAUGCAAGUCGAGCGAACAGACGAGGAGCUUGCUCCUCCGACGUUAGCGGCGGACGGGUGAGUAACACGUGGAUAACCUACCUAUAAGACUGGGAUAACUUCGGGAAACCGGAGCUAAUACCGGAUAAUAUAUUGAACCGCAUGGUUCAAUAGUGAAAGACGGUUUUGCUGUCACUUAUAGAUGGAUCCGCGCCGCAUUAGCUAGUUGGUAAGGUAACGGCUUACCAAGGCAACGAUGCGUAGCCGAACUGAGAGGGUGAUCAGCCACACUGGAACUGAGACACGGUCCAGACUCCUACGGGAGGCAGCAGUAGGGAAUCUUCCGCAAUGGGCGAAAGCCUGACGGAGCAACGCCGCGUGAGUGAUGAAGGUCUUCGGAUCGUAAAACUCUGUUAUUAGGGAAGAACAAAUGUGUAAGUAACUAUGCACGUCUUGACGGUACCUAAUCAGAAAGCCACGGCUAACUACGUG